UGGCAAAGCAGAUGUGCGUCACGUUCUAUAAAGUACCUGAUGCAUUGUAACUUAGAUCGUUAGGAUGAUUGUGUAUCAGCCUACUCAUAUAUUUGCUGCUUUCUGAUGUUAUUUCAUUUUUGGAUUCUGGAGUUACAACUCACAAACAACCCCUUUCUAUGUAUUUAUGUCUUUCUGGUUCUUAUUUGCGUCUGAUUCUGAGAUGAGUCAGACUAGAGCCGAAAAAUAAUCCAUAGUAAAUUGUUCACCAAAUAACUGAUAACUAUGUGUUGCCUAAUUUGUUGUGCAAUUGUGAGGAAUGCCAUUGUGGCUAUGAGGUUUGUAUCAAAAUUUCUUAUAGAUAUAAAACUACAAGCCAUUCAUUAUUUUGACUAAACUUCUAUCCUUCUGAUCACUGAUGUUUUUCAGCACAGCUAUACCUGAGACAAG
rnacentral:misc_RNA from 1 species